UUGGCCAAUAAGUUCGUUCGGUUUCUCCAUAACAUCUUAGGGAAAAACCUGAACGAAAGUUUUGGCCAA
rnacentral:miRNA from 1 species